AGCGAACGCUGGCGGCAGGCUUAACACAUGCAAGUCGAGCGGGCGUAGCAAUACGUCAGCGGCAGACGGGUGAGUAACGCGUGGGAACAUACCUUUUGGUUCGGAACAACACAGGGAAACUUGUGCUAAUACCGGAUAAGCCCUUACGGGGAAAGAUUUAUCGCCGAAAGAUUGGCCCGCGUCUGAUUAGCUAGUUGGUGAGGUAACGGCUCACCAAGGCGACGAUCAGUAGCUGGCUGAGAGGAUGAUCAGCCACAUUGGGACUGAGACACGGCCCAAACUCCUACGGGAGGCAGCAGUGGGGAAUAUUGGACAAUGGGCGCAAGCCUGAUCCAGCCAUGCCGCGUGAGUGAUGAAGGCCCUAGGGUUGUAAAGCUCUUUUGUGCGGGAAGAUAAUGAC
rnacentral:rRNA from 1 species